CAUGGCAUAAAUGAGUGCAGUGUGUUUGUAUGACAUGGAGGCACAUGACUAUGCACACCACUGGGCAGCUCUGUAAAGAGUUUCAACUCAAGUAAUGCCACCUUGUGAAGAGGCAGAACUCCAGGGUCAUCUAAUGAAGCUCUGAAAUCCACUGCUGCCUACUGGGGCACCAAGAUUUCAAGACAUUAAAGAGUCCUGUUGGAAACACUGAUGGCAUCUUCAGCAACUGCAUCACUAUUGCUCUGACAUGUAUCCACAGUGGCUCUCAGCAGGUUCAGACAAGAAAUGGGAAGACUGAUAUCACUUUCUUGCUGUGAGAUCCAAGUCCUUGCUGGGUCAGAAAUCACAUGGUGUAUUAAGGGCUUAAGAUUUAUUCUGGAGAUUUAAACUCCUGUUCUGACCAUACACCAUGAAUGGAAAUGGGCUACAUUAAAAAUAAGUUUGACGGAUCUGGGCCAUGGAGUAAGAGAAGACUGUAAUCAAGGAAAAAUGAAUGAAUUAAAGUGAUAGAUGUGCUUUUAGUAUCCUGUCAAGUAAGUCACACCAUUAACUUGUUUCUGGAAUCUGACAAAAAAUGACAAUAUUAGGUAUUUUAUGUUAGAGGACAGUCUUUGCAGGGGGCUGUGUAACUCUAUUCAUGGUGACAAUUUCUGUGUUAAAAGGCCAGGAAUAAUCUGCUCCAUUAAAGAAUGGAAUGAAAUCCACUCUCUUCAGGUUGGUUAGCAGUCCCUUUUUCUUCUUUCAGAUAUAGCCCAGAUAUUACUGUAAACUGACUAUUAGGUAAGAACUCUGGUGUCUAUUACCAAUACCUGAAAACUUCAACAUGUUUUCAUCUCUUUAUAGCCAAUACCAACAUUUUUUUAUCACUAUGAGUAAAAAGUAAUAAAUACAAAGUAAUGUCCAAACCAGUUCCCAGCCUUCAGAAGACUGUACAACACACAGAUGGCAUCCUAUAUUCAGGUAAUAUAUUUCACUGGAUGAUAGAUGAAGAGAGAUUUCAUAUGGCAUGUAGGGAUGCAAUUUUAACAUCAAAUACAUUCCAACUCCCUUAUCUAAUCUAACGAGCCAUUUAACACUUUAUCUAUCAGAUCAAGUCUUUGAAUCAGUUUUGUGCCAUGGGAGUAAAACAUGCUAAUAUUUAAAUAAUCAUCUUUUUGACAAAGGUGAAUUUGAUCAGUAAUAAAAACUGUUUCCAAUCAAUGACCUUCAAAAGAUUUCUUCCAUUUCUUUCCAGACGACUACACAAAACAUCACAGUACAUAAAAUACCUUGGUCAAAUCCACUGUCACUUAUUUUCCUGUUUGUCACUAUUUCUUAAGUUUUAUAAAGUACUUUCAUAAAUGUUUUGGGUCUAGAGAAGGCAUGCUCUUACUUUCAUAUGGAAACUGUAAGCUCUUUCAUCCCUCCACUGCCAGAACACACACACACAGCUGGCACAUUCUUCUAAUCAUAAAAGUAAAAAAAAGAAAAAAAAAAUCACAGCUGCAAUAUUAAUAGCAAAUAUAUUCUGGUUCAUGUCCAGUUACACUCAGGCGAACACUGAUAAGUCAUGUGUGAGGUUCUCAUACAUAGCUCUGCCACUGCAACACCAAUCCUAUCAUGCCUCAGCCUCUUUUUAACAUUGUCGAACAGCUCGUUCUUGAAUGGCAUCUUGCUGAUCCACUCCUAUCCAGUAGAGAUUUCUUAUAGUUGGCCAUAGUUGGGUUGUUGCUUUUUACAGUAUAAUAAAUAUAUGGGCCUCUGUCUCCUCUCAGAAUCUGAGACUUCAGAUAGGCAGGUCGACCAAAUUCUGCAGCAACGCUUCCUCCAAAUGACAACUAUCCUCCAAAUGACAAUG